rnacentral:rRNA from 1 species
ACGGGAGGCAGCAGUGGGGAAUAUUGGGCAAUGGGCGAAAGCCUGACCCAGCGACGCCGCGUGAGGGAAGAAGGUCUUCGGAUUGUAAACCUUAGUCAACAGGGAAGAAGCAAGUGACGGUACCUGUGGAGGAAGCCACGGCUAACUACGUGCCAGCAGCCGCGGUAAUACGUAGGUGGCGAGCGUUAUCCGGAUUUACUGGGUGUAAAGGGCGUGUAGGCGGAGAUGCAAGUCAGAAGUGAAAUCUAGGGGCUUAACCCCUAAACUGCUUUUGAAACUGUAUCCCUUGAGUAUCGGAGAGGCAGGCGGAAUUCCCAGUGUAGCGGUGAAAUGCGUAGAUAUUGGGAGGAACACCAGUGGCGAAGGCGGCCUGCUGGACGACAACUGACGCUGAGGCGCGAAAGCGUGGGGAGCAAACAGGAUUAGAUACCCUGGUA